CUCGUGACUACGGCAGAUGACGUUGGCCCCGUGGGGGUGGGGGUGGGGUUUAAGGUUGCAGGUGCCGUGAAGGUUGCUAAUGAGCUGACUUCUGGGAGGGUCGGCCGAGUUCUGCAGGCGGGCCCGGUGCGAUCACAAGCGUCCUUGUUAAGGGUGGACGUGGGAGGCAGAAGGGAGUCAGAGCGGGGAGAUUCCAGACGGGCUCGUUUUGCCGUUGGGUCGGAAGCUGGAGGAAGCGGCCAGGCACCGUGGAUGUGGGGGACCUCUAGGAGCUGGAAGAGGCCUGAAUGGAAAGUCAUUUUGACCUGCUCCACAUUUUUACUUAAGAACUGCUUUUAACAAUAAGCCACUGGUGUACUUGUUUCUGGACUGACUUGAGUUUUUGGCACAAUAUGAAAAGCAUUUGGAAAGUAGUAUGUAUAUCAUGGCAAACAAGUGAACUAGAAUGAUAAAUGAUUAUACAAAUCUUGGACGACAAAUAGAAGCGAGUAGAGACAAAGGAUCAUCGUCUCUGACCAGAAGUCCCAUGCGGGCUGUUUGUUUCUUGGGACUCGGCUACGUCCAGAGAGAGGUUGCGCUUUCUUCGGAGGACUGGGAACCGCAGCCCAAACACAGAGCUCUGUGGCUGUGACCGUCCAGAGGACACCAUUGAGGAGUAAGCUUUCUUCCGUCGCUUCCUGCGUGUGCUCUGACUACCGGGACCUGACGUGGAACUUCAAAAGCAAGGCAGAGCUCAGUACACCUGGUCCAGCUUCCUCCAGAAUGACCUCGAUUGUGUCUCUUGGAGCAGCAGCCGCACCAAAAUACUCCAGAAAAGAAGCAUCCCAGGGAGGGGCUGGAGUUUUAUUUGAAAUAAUCUGAGUCUUCUUGGUUGAAUCUUCCUGCACACCAACAGCACAAAUUCAUUGACUCUUCAGUAUGAUCCAAUACUGUCCUUUUUCUUUCUGCCUUUUUUUUUUUUUUUUCAAAUUCUAGCACAUGCGAGUGAGAGGCUAACCUCGAAGCGGGGAUUUGCCCCAACAAAUAUCCGCAACGGAGCAGUUACGUGUUAAAGGUGACUGUUCAUGGGAAGGAAGGGCUGAUUCACAAAAACAUCUUGAAAAUUAUUAUUAGGUGCAUUUCACUGUCCUCAGAGGCCAAUCGGUGCCCUGCUCAGGGGCCUGUGAAUUUCCUUAAAUGUUAACAUUUUUUUCCUACGGUAUAAAUACAUUGAGGAAAGGAAGUAGGGGUCGCUGCCUUCUCUGGAAAGCUUGCCUUACUCGUAGCAGGAUGUAAAUAUACCCUACAACUAGUUAAGCCAGUAAUGGGACCAUGUAAAAUUAGUAGCAUUUUAGAAAUUAAGAAAUUAACUAUGCACUACCCCGUGUCUUUAACUAUGAACAAUCUCAUUGUAAUUCAAAGGAUCUCAGAUAAUUAGAUUUAAUAGAAUCUGGUGAAUACUCAGUAGCUUUCUAAUUCAUAGUAUUUGGUAGCAAUUUUGUGGGCAAUUACGUGUAUUGCGGCUUUGGAUGCCUGAAAACCCAAGUACGUUUUUGGUAUUAGAGCAGAAUUAACAUAAAGUGAUUAAGUGGCAUGAAUAAAUAUGCAAAUAGAUGAUAAAUUGUUACGUAGAAAAGAUAUUGAUGGAAGAAAAGAAAAACAGGCAAACAAGGAGAAUGAAAAGGUGAUUAAGGAAGGAGAAAAAAGAAACUGUUGUCAAGCUCUGAGGUAACAUUUCUGGUCAAUUCUUUGAGGGCUCUCUCUUCUCAGUGUGGUGAGAGGAGGUUUAAAUUCUCAAUUUAAGAAAAAGUGGAAGGCUCUCUGUUUUCCUUUAUUCAUGGCAACGUUUCCUGAGGAGACUCUGUGCGUUUCUACGUUUUUGUGACUGUCCCGCCCACCGCUGCUGCAGGCAGGUCACCUGCUUCCUCCAGAAUGACUUUAGGAGGGACAUCCCCCUGCUCGGCCAAACAGGAAAACCAUCAGAACAGACCAGAAAGGAGACACUAGUUCUGAUGACAAACUAAUAAGGGUGCAUCUUAUUUGAUCACACGCCGUAAGGAAAUGACUAAUUCCUAUUCAGGAAAACCAGUAAAGGAGGUUGUAUCCCAGGCAUCAACAAGCUUGAGGAGCACAAACAUGAGACUGUACAGUAAAACCUUGGUUUGCGAACGUAAUUCGUUCUGGAAACAUGCCCGUGUAUCAAAGCGCUCGUAUAUCAAAGGGCAUUUCAAGAACCAUUGGCCCAGUUGCGGUCGUGUGACGUUGGGCAUCCCAUACUACCCGUAUCGCGAGACUUCGCUCGUUUAUCAAGUUAAAAUUUAUUAGAAAUGUUUGCUGGUCUUGCAGAAAACUCACAGAAUUAGUUACUCACAAUCCAAGGUCUUCUUGUAUUUUGAGAGUCACUCACCCACAGUGCGGGGUAAGUGGGCCGGCACGUGGGUUACUAUCAGACUUUCCAAGUCCAUUUCAUUCCUUAUAAUCAGUUCAUCUCUCCAUCCAGUAAGUGCUCAGUUCUUAGUGCACAUUUCCCAAAUGGCAGAGCACAUCAUGGUGACAAAUUUCCCCAUACCUUCUUUAAACUUGUAUUUUGGUCACUUAAUAUUUCUCUUCGACUUGAUUUACUCUUUAAAGUGUGUUCCAUUAACCAAGAAACUGUUAAAAAAUGAAAACUCAGGAUUGUACUUCAUCACUAUAGAAAAACCCUCAGCGUUAAGAACAAUGUAAGCGAUGUUAUUAAAUUUUAAAGUAGAGCAAUAAACAGAACACAGGGCAGAGCCUCCUUUCCAGUAAGGUUUAUUCCUGGGGAGCCGGCUGGCUGGGAGACCAGCAGGGAGCGUGGAAAGGGAGGGUGAUUUGUAAGGAAGGGUCUGGGAGAGAGCACUUUAGGUGGAAAAUAUUGGAUCCUCCCUCUACUCUGCCUGGUGGAAGGGGCUUUACCACCAGCUGCCUAUGUUAAAGCUCUGCCCAGAAUUUUCCUCGUACCCACAUUACAGCCCACAUUGGAAUAAAAAGCUGUUUAAAGGGAACAGCAUGGGGAAACUUCACAGAGUCCAAAAGCCAAGACCGGAAAUUAUUACCACCGAAAUCCAUUUCUAAAAAAGCCCUUAAAGUUUUA